rnacentral:rRNA from 1 species
AGCGUACACGGUGGAUGCCCUGGCAGUCAGAGGCGAUGAAGGACGUGCUAAUCUGCGAUAAGCGUCGGUAAGGUGAUAUGAACCGUUAUAACCGGCGAUUUCCGAAUGGGGAAACCCAGUGUGAUUCGUCACACUAUCAUUAACUGAAUCCAUAGGUUAAUGAGGCGAACCGGGGGAACUGAAACAUCUAAGUACCCCGAGGAAAAGAAAUCAACCGAGAUUCCCCCAGUAGCGGCGAGCGAACGGGGAGCAGCCCAGAGCCUGAAUCAGUGUGUGUGUUAGUGGAAGCGUCUGGAAAGGCGCGCGAUACAGGGUGACAGCCCCGUACACAAAAAUGCACAUGCUGUGAGCUCGAUGAGUAGGGCGGGACACGUGGUAUCCUGUCUGAAUAUGGGGGGACCAUCCUCCAAGGCUAAAUACUCCUGACUGACCGAUAGUGAACCAGUACCGUGAGGGAAAGGCGAAAAGAACCCCGGCGAGGGGAGUGAAAAAGAACCUGAAACCGUGUACGUACAAGCAGUGGGAGCACGCUUAGGCGUGUGACUGCGUACCUUUUGUAUAAUGGGUCAGCGACUUAUAUUCUGUAGCAAGGUUAACCGAAUAGGGGAGCCGAAGGGAAACCGAGUCUUAACUGGGCGUUAAGUUGCAGGGUAUAGACCCGAAACCCGGUGAUCUAGCCAUGGGCAGGUUGAAGGUUGGGUAACACUAACUGGAGGACCGAACCGACUAAUGUUGAAAAAUUAGCGGAUGACUUGUGGCUGGGGGUGAAAGGCCAAUCAAACCGGGAGAUAGCUGGUUCUCCCCGAAAGCUAUUUAGGUAGCGCCUCGUGAAUUCAUCUCCGGGGGUAGAGCACUGUUUCGGCAAGGGGGUCAUCCCGACUUACCAACCCGAUGCAAACUGCGAAUACCGGAGAAUGUUAUCACGGGAGACACACGGCGGGUGCUAACGUCCGUCGUGAAGAGGGAAACAACCCAGACCGCCAGCUAAGGUCCCAAAGUCAUGGUUAAGUGGGAAACGAUGUGGGAAGGCCCAGACAGCCAGGAUGUUGGCUUAGAAGCAGCCAUCAUUUAAAGAAAGCGUAAUAGCUCACUGGUCGAGUCGGCCUGCGCGGAAGAUGUAACGGGGCUAAACCAUGCACCGAAGCUGCGGCAGCGACGCUUAUGCGUUGUUGGGUAGGGGAGCGUUCUGUAAGCCUGUGAAGGUGUACUGUGAGGUAUGCUGGAGGUAUCAGAAGUGCGAAUGCUGACAUAAGUAACGAUAAAGCGGGUGAAAAGCCCGCUCGCCGGAAGACCAAGGGUUCCUGUCCAACGUUAAUCGGGGCAGGGUGAGUCGACCCCUAAGGCGAGGCCGAAAGGCGUAGUCGAUGGGAAACAGGUUAAUAUUCCUGUACUUGGUGUUACUGCGAAGGGGGGACGGAGAAGGCUAUGUUGGCCGGGCGACGGUUGUCCCGGUUUAAGCGUGUAGGCUGGUUUUCCAGGCAAAUCCGGAAAAUCAAGGCUGAGGCGUGAUGACGAGGCACUACGGUGCUGAAGCAACAAAUGCCCUGCUUCCAGGAAAAGCCUCUAAGCAUCAGGUAACAUCAAAUCGUACCCCAAACCGACACAGGUGGUCAGGUAGAGAAUACCAAGGCGCUUGAGAGAACUCGGGUGAAGGAACUAGGCAAAAUGGUGCCGUAACUUCGGGAGAAGGCACGCUGAUAUGUAGGUGAAGCGACUUGCUCGUGGAGCUGAAAUCAGUCGAAGAUACCAGCUGGCUGCAACUGUUUAUUAAAAACACAGCACUGUGCAAACACGAAAGUGGACGUAUACGGUGUGACGCCUGCCCGGUGCCGGAAGGUUAAUUGAUGGGGUCAGCGCAAGCGAAGCUCUUGAUCGAAGCCCCGGUAAACGGCGGCCGUAACUAUAACGGUCCUAAGGUAGCGAAAUUCCUUGUCGGGUAAGUUCCGACCUGCACGAAUGGCGUAAUGAUGGCCAGGCUGUCUCCACCCGAGACUCAGUGAAAUUGAACUCGCUGUGAAGAUGCAGUGUACCCGCGGCAAGACGGAAAGACCCCGUGAACCUUUACUAUAGCUUGACACUGAACAUUGAGCCUUGAUGUGUAGGAUAGGUGGGAGGCUUUGAAGUGUGGACGCCAGUCUGCAUGGAGCCGACCUUGAAAUACCACCCUUUAAUGUUUGAUGUUCUAACGUUGACCCGUAAUCCGGGUUGCGGACAGUGUCUGGUGGGUAGUUUGACUGGGGCGGUCUCCUCCUAAAGAGUAACGGAGGAGCACGAAGGUUGGCUAAUCCUGGUCGGACAUCAGGAGGUUAGUGCAAUGGCAUAAGCCAGCUUGACUGCGAGCGUGACGGCGCGAGCAGGUGCGAAAGCAGGUCAUAGUGAUCCGGUGGUUCUGAAUGGAAGGGCCAUCGCUCAACGGAUAAAAGGUACUCCGGGGAUAACAGGCUGAUACCGCCCAAGAGUUCAUAUCGACGGCGGUGUUUGGCACCUCGAUGUCGGCUCAUCACAUCCUGGGGCUGAAGUAGGUCCCAAGGGUAUGGCUGUUCGCCAUUUAAAGUGGUACGCGAGCUGGGUUUAGAACGUCGUGAGACAGUUCGGUCCCUAUCUGCCGUGGGCGCUGGAGAACUGAGGGGGGCUGCUCCUAGUACGAGAGGACCGGAGUGGACGCAUCACUGGUGUUCGGGUUGUCAUGCCAAUGGCACUGCCCGGUAGCUAAAUGCGGAAGAGAUAAGUGCUGAAAGCAUCUAAGCACGAAACUUGCCCCGAGAUGAGUUCU